ACGCGAUAAGUGCCCCGCCUGGGGAGUACGGUCGCAAGACUGAAACUCAAAGGAAUUGACGGGGGCCCGCACAAGCGGUGGAGCAUGUGGUUCAAUUCGACGCAACGCGAAGAACCUUACCGGGGCUUGAACUGUAACUGCGACUCGAUGAAAGUCGGGGUUCUCUUCGGAGACGGUUAUAGAGGUGCUGCAUGGCUGUCGUCAGCUCGUGUCGUGAGAUGUUGGGUUAAGUCCCGCAACGAGCGCAACCCUUACUCUUAGUUGCCAUCAGGUUAAGCUGGGCACCCUAAGAGAACUGUCGGCGAAAAGCCGGAGGAAGGUGGGGAUGACGUCAAGUCCUCAUGGCCCUUACGUCCCGGGCUACACACGUGCUACAAUGGCUGGUACAAAGGGUUGCCAACCCGCGAGGGGGAGCUAAUCCCAAAAACCAGUCCCA
rnacentral:rRNA from 1 species